rnacentral:RNase_P_RNA from 1 species
CGAGUUGGCAGGGCGGCCGCGACGCCGCGUUCGCGCGGUAUCGAGGAAAGUCCGGACUCCGCAGGGCAGGGUGGUUGCUAACCGCAACCCGGGGCGACCCGCGGGACAGUGCCACAGAAAACAGACCGCCUGGCCGCUGCGGCCAGGUAAGGGUGAAACGGUGGUGUAAGAGACCACCAGCACCCCGGGUGACCGGGGUGGCUCGGUAAACCCCACCCGGAGCAAGGCCAAGAGGGAGCGCGAGCUCCUGCGCAGGCGUUCGAGGGCGGCCCGCCCGAUGCCUGCGGGUAGGCCGCUGGAGCCUGCCGGCGACGGCAGGCCGAGAUGGAUGGUCGCCCACCGCGCCACCCGGCGCGGGGACAGAAUCCGGCUUACAUGCCAACUCGUCCG